rnacentral:tRNA from 4 species
GCCGGAGUGGUGAAACUGGUAGACGCAGGGGACUCAAAAUCCCCCGACUCUUGCAGUCAUGUCGGUUCGAUUCCGACCUCCGGCACCA